rnacentral:misc_RNA from 1 species
GAUGAAGAACGUAGCGAAAUGCGAUAAGUAAUGUGAAUUGCAGAAUUCAGUGAAUCAUCGAGUCUUUGAACGCACAUUGCGCCCCCUGGUAUUCCGGGGGGCAUGCCUGUCCGAGCGUCAUCGCUGCCCUCAAGCACGGCUUGUGUGUUGGGCCCCCGCCCCCCGGCUUCGGGGGGCGGGCCCGAAAGGCAGCGGCGGCACCGCGUCCGGUCCUCGAGCGUAUGGGGCUUCGUCACCCGCUCUGUAGGCCCGGCCGGCGCCCGCCGGCGACCCCAAUCAAUCUUUCCAGGUUGACCUCGGAUCAGGUAGGGAUACCCGCUGAACUUAAGCAUAUCAAUAAGCGGAGGA